UACGUAGGGUGCAAGCGUUGUCCGGAAUUAUUGGGCGUAAAGAGCUCGUAGGCGGUUAGUCGCGUCUGCUGUGAAAACUCGGGGCUUAACCCUGGGCCUGCAGUGGGUACGGGCUGACUAGAGUUCGGUAGGGGAGACUGGAAUUCCUGGUGUAGCGGUGAAAUGCGCAGAUAUCAGGAGGAACACCGGUGGCGAAGGCGGCUCACUGGUCCAUUACUGACGCUGAGGUGCGAAAGCGUGGGGAGCAAACAGG
rnacentral:rRNA from 1 species